rnacentral:rRNA from 1 species
UACGUAGGGUGCAAGCGUUGUCCGGAAUUAUUGGGCGUAAAGAGCUCGUAGGCGGUCUGUCGCGUCUGCUGUGAAAACUCAGGGCUUAACCCUGAGCUUGCAGUGGGUACGGGCAGACUAGAGUGCGGUAGGGGAGACUGGAAUUCCUGGUGUAGCGGUGAAAUGCGCAGAUAUCAGGAGGAACACCGAUGGCGAAGGCAGGUCUCUGGGCAUUAACUGACGCUGAGGAGCGGAAAGCAUGGG